rnacentral:rRNA from 1 species
UACAGAGACUGCAAGCGUUAUUCGGAUUCACUGGGCGUAAAGGGUGCGCAGGCGGCCAAGUGUGUGAGGCGUGAAAGCCUGGGGCUUAACUCCAGAAUUGCACCUCAAACUACAUGGCUAGAGCAUUGGAGAGGGUAGCAGAAUUCACGGUGUAGCAGUGAAAUGCGUAGAUAUCGUGAGGAAUACCAGAGGCGAAGGCGGCUAUCUGGACAAUUGCUGACGCUCAGGCACGAAAGCGUGGGGAGCAAAAGGG